rnacentral:rRNA from 1 species
GACGAACGCUGGCGGCGUGCUUAACACAUGCAAGUCGAACGGAAAGGCCCUGCUUUUGUGGGGUGCUCGAUUGGCGAACGGGUGAGUGACACGUGAGUAACCUGCCCUUGACUUUCGGGUAACUUCAGGAAACUGGGGCUAAUACCGGAUAGGAGCUCCUGCAGCGUGGUGGGCAUUGGAAAUUUGCGGCGGUUGGGGAUGGACUGGCGGCUUAUGAGCUUGUUGGUGGGGUAGGUGCUUGCCAACGGUUUGACGGAUAGGCGGCCUGAGAGGGGGGCCGGCGUCAAGGCGACUGAGAGAGGCACCAGACGGCAAUGGGAGGCAGCAGGGGGGAGUAUGGCACAAUGGGCCGGAGCGUGAGGCAGCAACGUUGGGUGCGGGAAGACCGCUUGUGGGUUGAAAACCGCUGUCGCCUGAGACGAAGCGGUAGUGACGGUACCGGGUAAAUAAGCACCGGCUAACUACGUG